rnacentral:rRNA from 1 species
GAUGAACGCUGGCGGCGUGCCUAAUACAUGCAAGUAGAACGCUGAAGGAAGGAGCUUGCUCUUUCCGGAUGAGUUGCGAACGGGUGAGUAACGCGUAGGUAACCUGCCUGGUAGCGGGGGAUAACUAUUGGAAACGAUAGCUAAUACCGCAUAACAGUAGAUGUUGCAUGACAACUAUUUGAAAGGGGCAAUUGCUCCACUACCAGAUGGACCUGCGUUGUAUUAGCUAGUUGGUGAGGUAACGGCUCACCAAGGCGACGAUACAUAGCCGACCUGAGAGGGUGAUCGGCCCCACUGGGACUGAGACACGGCCCAGACUCCUACGGGAGGCAGCAGUAGGGAAUCUUCGGCAAUGGACGGAAGUCUGACCGAGCAACGCCGCGUGAGUGAAGAAGGUUUUCGGAUCGUAAAGCUCUGUUGUAAGAGAAGAACGAGUGUGAGAGUGGAAAGUUCACACUGUGACGGUAUCUUACCAGAAAGGGACGGCUAACUACGUG